rnacentral:rRNA from 1 species
GACAGAGGUGCCAAGCGUUAGGCGGAAUCACUGGGCUUAAAGCGUGUGUAGGCGGAUCGUUAAGUACCUUGUGAAAUCCCACGGCUUAACCGUGGAACUGCUCGGUAUACUGGCGGUCUUGAGCAACCUAGGGGCGAGCGGAACAAAUGGUGGAGCGGUGAAAUGCGUAGAUAUCAUUUGGAACGCCAAUGGUGAAAACAGCUCGCUGGGGGUUUGCUGACGCUGAGACACGAAAGCCAGGGGAGCAAACAGG